GGAUGUGAUCAUACCAGCAUUAACGCACCGGAUCCCAUCAGAACUUCGAAGUAACGCGUGCUUGGUCGAGAGUAGUACUUGGAUGGGUGACCCCCUGGGAAGUCCUCGGGUUGCAUCCC